rnacentral:rRNA from 1 species
AUUGAACGCUGGCGGCAUGCUUUACACAUGCAAGUCGGACGGCAGCACAGAGAAGCUUGCUUCUUGGGUGGCGAGUGGCGAACGGGUGAGUAAUAUAUCGGAACGUACCGAGUAAUGGGGGAUAACUAAUCGAAAGAUUAGCUAAUACCGCAUAUUCUCUGAGGAGGAAAGCAGGGGACCUUCGGGCCUUGCGUUAUUCGAGCGGCCGAUAUCUGAUUAGCUAGUUGGUGGGGUAAAGGCCUACCAAGGCGACGAUCAGUAGCGGGUCUGAGAGGAUGAUCCGCCACACUGGGACUGAGACACGGCCCAGACUCCUACGGGAGGCAGCAGUGGGGAAUUUUGGACAAUGGGCGCAAGCCUGAUCCAGCCAUGCCGCGUGUCUGAAGAAGGCCUUCGGGUUAUAAAGGACUUUUGUCAGGGAAGAAAAGGCUGUUGCUAAUAUCGACAGCUGAUGACGGUACCUGAAGAAUAAGCACCGGCUAACUACGUG